rnacentral:rRNA from 1 species
AACGAACGCUGGCGGCAUGCCUAACACAUGCAAGUCGAACGAGACCUUCGGGUCUAGUUGCGCACGGGUGCGUACCGCGUGGGAACCUGCCCUUAGGUUCGGAAUAACUCCCCGAAAGGGGUGCUAAUACCGGAUAAUGUCUUCGGACCAAAGAUUUAUGGCCUUUGGAUGGGCCCGCGUUGGUUUAGCCGGUUGGUAGGGUAAAAGCCUACCAAGGCGAGGAUCCAUAGCUGGUCUGAGAGGAUGAUCAGCCACACUGGGACUGAGACACGGCCCAGACUCCUACGGGAGGCAGCAGUAGGGAAUAUUGGACAAUGGGCGAAAGCCUGAUCCAGCAAUGCCGCGUGAGUGAUGAAGGCCUUAGGGUUGUAAAGCUCUUUUACCCGGGAUGAUAAUGACAGUACCGGGAGAAUAAGCUCCGGCUAACUACGUG